UGCGUAGGCGGAAUUUUAAGUCAGUGGUGAAAUCCUGCAGCUCAACUGUAGAACUGCCAUUGAUACUGAUCUUCUUGAAUUUAGUUGAGGUGGGCGGAACGUGUAAUGUAGCGGUGAAAUGCUUAGAUAUUACACAGAACACCGAUUGCGAAGGCAGCUCACUAAACUAAUAUUGACGCUGAGGCACGAAAGCGUGGGUAGCGAACAGGAUUAGAUACCCUGGUAGUCC
rnacentral:rRNA from 1 species